rnacentral:ncRNA from 1 species
UGUCAGGGGAGCCGCAAGGCUGAGAGGAGGCUUAACGCCUCGACCCUUUAACCUGAUUUGGGUAAUGCCAACGUAGGGAGUGCUUCGUU